UACGUAGGUGGCAAGCGUUGUCCGGAAUUAUUGGGCGUAAAGGAUGCGUAGGCGGUCUUUUAAGUGGGAUGUGAAAUACCCGGGCUUAACUUGGGAAUGGCAUUCCAAACUGGAAGACUAGAGUGCAGGAGAGGAAAGUGGAAUUCCCAGUGUAGCGGUGAAAUGCGUAGAGAUUGGGAGGAACACCAGUGGCGAAGGCGACUUUCUGGACUGUAACUGACGCUGAGGCAUGAAAGCGUGGGGAGCAAACAGG
rnacentral:rRNA from 1 species